UUUAUCAAUAUAUUCUCCUGUAAUUACUCUCCAAAAAUAAAAUGCUAAUUAGCCGCGAAUGUGGCGAUCAAACAGAACUACACAUCCUGUCACAAGCUUUUACCUAAUCACUCAAGGCGCAGGCUGGAAAAAAUCUUCACAUUUCUCCACGCAAACUCUCAUCCACAAGUAACCUAGCAAGUAGCCUUUUUAGUUUCUCGUGUAAAUAAUUAAUAUUGUGUAUUUCUUGUGUGUAUUCUUGUUUAGCAUUUUUCAAAUUACCUUUCUAGCUACCUUAGCAUUUUUUUAUUACUAUAAUUGUUUAAAACCGUGGCCUUUUUAGCUAAACUUAGGUGUCUCCGUCGAUCUGAAGCAAGGAUGGUUCUGUGGUCUGUACCGGAUUGUAACCACUACAUAGAUAAGCAUACGUGUAUUUUGUCGUUUUCUGAGCGAGAGGCGUCGCUGGAGCUGUGUGAUAAGAUGGGUGGACCGGAAACCAAGUGACAACACUCAGGUCUGCAGCUGCCAUUUUCCGGUGGGAAAGAGAAAUGGCCCUGUAUUUACCAGAAAAGUUGCUGACAGGCGGAGCAAUAUGAGUAUGUCAGAGGUCGUCACGCUGGAUGGUGAUGGAGGCUUUGGUGGUCCACACAACAAAGAAGCAGAUAUCCCUUCCAGUGAUGUGGAGCUGACCUAGUGCCAGUAAGGAUGGUCUUCACAGAGGUGGUAAGACCCUUCCUCCUUCACUGUCUCUUCAAUGACAACACCCCAUCCAAUGACUGUGAUCUGAGGACCCUUUUUAGCAGUGAUGGAGUACACGCUUGGCCCUGACCACUGUUCCAGAAUUGCUGGCUGUCAACCUCCCUCUCCCCAUGGUGUACCAGUUGGGGUUGGUGCGCUGUCCAACUGUUGCCUGCCGUAUAGCUUCCUGCUGCUCCACCAACAGCGCCAUGCCAACCAGGAUGCCUGCAUGCCCCAGGUGCCCUUGUUUAAAAAAAAUGUUGAGUACAGACAGGGAGGGUAGCGGUUGUUCUGGCUCAGGUUCAAGGAGACAUGGCAUUCCACUGAACCUGCCCCAGAGACGGUUCCUUAGCCACUGAAGAUCCUCCUCUGUGGGCUCUCGGGACAGAGGGUUGUAGUCUUCGGCCGGGUACAGGUCCUCCACUGACUGCACAUGGUUGGGCACGGCUGGCUUCCUCCACUCGCAUUCCACAUCUGUACGGUCGAUAUUGUGAACCGCCAAAAUAGGCUGCAUGGCUACAUGUAUGAGCUCCACGGAGGCAUUCGCAUGUGGUAGAGAGAAUCCCCUUGUCACCUAUAGAGACCUGCCAAGAGGAAGGAUGUUAAGUGCCACGUCUUUCAAUACAUGACUUUGAACACCUUGAAAUACAUUUGUUGUAAGAAAUGUGCUAAAUAAAUAAAGUUUGAUUGACAUUCCA